CGGGGAAGAAGUUUACGGGUUAGCAGAAAAAGCACAGAGCAAGACGUCAGCUUAGAAGUGAACAUGUAACCGUCAAUAAGAUAAUCCCACCCAAGAAUUCAGAAAAAGCAAGUCAUUCGGUUCAUUCAUGUCGGGAGCGGAAGCAAGCGCGACGAGCGAGCCUGUUUUUAAACUGUCAGUUUUGGCAUAUCAUAUAAAGUACUAUACUAGUGCAAUCGAUCAAUUCAAGCCUGUAAGGAAAGCGUUCGGCAAGUGAGAGUGCCCAUGGACAUGACAUGGCUUUGGUUGUUAUCACUGCAACUAAUGAAGAAGUCUUAAAUGCCUCCGUACAGUACAAAAGACUGACAAGACCUGCUUCUUUGAAUUUAAAAUCUUAAGCUUCAGCGGAAAUCCGCUGAUCAUGUCAUGAAUGUCUUAUCGUAGAUUAUGCGUAAGCCCUUAGCUUAGCACGUUCGUAGAACUAAGGAAGCAUCUUUGGCGGGAGGAAAUGGUCUCAUUGUCGGUAACAAAUUCGAAUUUCGAGGACGGGGCCUCUCCUUCCAGCCGCGUUUCUUUCAUCCACUCUCCUUCCUUUGUUUGUCAGUCGAGUGCCAGGUCCAUGAUCGGCGUGUUCAAGACGUGCUUAUGAGGUUCGACUCCUCACCGAUCAUCCGUUCGUUGGACAGUUCGUUUGGUUGGAAAAUACGUAUAUUUAUAACAGCUCUACUAACUGGUGUUUAUUUCCGGAGUGAUUGAUGCUGUCGCCUAAAAAGAUAACACACCAGGACGAAACUUCGGGAGUAGCGGCUCACUGUUGAUCCUAGGGCCCAGCAUAAAGAUUUCCCAACCAACCGGAUCGAACCAAAAAAAAAGAUGAAUAGGUUUUAACAACCCAUCCUUGUCCGUGCGUGGAAGGAGGAGAGUUGUAGCUGGAUAAGGAAAUUACUUUAUUCUGUUAUGUCCUUCUCAUGAUCGUAGACCACCAUCCUAGCUAGAGGGAUGAAAUUGAAGUUCCGAGGAAAGAGAGGUUGAAUAAUACUUAGAUAGAAGAAGUUACUUAGAUAGAAGAAGUUGUGAUAUAGCGUAUAUAUCUAGAUGACUGGACUUGGCUGCGCCCUAAGCCAAGCUGUACUACGUAGCCCCUAUAACUCUAAAACCAUUACCUAUCCCGUCCAAAACAACAUAUACCUCAACAGCAGAAGAAGUCACCCUUCAUCUUCCCACAUUGAAGACACGAAAGAGAAACCUCACCUAAUGAAAUGACCUCACGCCAGCGCUACCCUUAAAAAAAAGGUUUUACGGAGCUUUACCGCUCUUCCUGCGAUUCUUCUUUUUAAUGAGAACAGCACGGAACUAGACUAAGGAAGUCAUCUGCAGUGCCCCUUGCACUUCCUAAUGGGACUUUCCCUGGUUGACUAUUCUUACUAUGAGAACAAUGAGCACCAGCUUCAUUCACAAGAGAAUGGGCUUCCUCCAGUCAUAAUCAUCCCGUACGCUAAGAACACUGCUGAUUCGAGGGGGCAAGAGGUUCCACUCAUCAAAGUGAGAGACGUAGGGCUUCUGCCUGGCCUAUAAUAUUCUUUGCCACUUUUCAAAUCAAUAAUAACGAUGUCAGAGAUAUUCCAAGAGGAGGACUCAGGUUCCGGUAAACUCGUCUUUAGACCUAAUGCUAGCUUUCUGUCAAGUCUGUCCAGGGAAAAGGUCUUGUACCAUUGAAAUAUGGUCCAUGUAGUAGUCUUAUGCGUUGGACCGGGUCUCCUCUGAUUGCGACGAUGAAAUGGUAAAGAGAUGUCGAAAUGGUGAGAAAGCUCACAAUCCAUAAGUUUGCCCGUUUGGAGAUGUUGAACUAUCGUUAGUACAAUUGCGGAGACUUUCGUCGCUUUGUUCCUGCCUGGCUCACUAGUCAGACCCCAAAAGGGAUAUGUGCGUCUUUGUUCGGAUGGGUAAGUUUGAGCUUUUAUGAAUUGAGUCUUGGUCUCUGGGUUCCGAGUACUAUGUGCUAUGGUAUUUGCUAAACAAUCCAGUUCUAUAACCUCCUUUCUGCUCCCAUUGGCGGCUCAACUUCGCUUUUGUCCAAUGAUUCCUUCUAACAUAACAGGGCAUUCGUGAACAAGCCCUGCUAACAGCUCUUUGUCCGAUUCUAUUUCUAUUUCCUGCUCGAUAAGGGUCAGAACUCGAUCCGGGAAUUUCAUUAGACCUCGAAUGCGCUCUGACUCUUGGGGAAGAUCUGCUUGAGAGCAUCGAAUCGUUGCUGCUUUUGCUAUUGGUCUACAAAUCGCUGCAACCAAUGUCCCGAAAGUAGCCUCCGUCCUCUUUUGAGUAGAAUGAUGGGCUCUUAGGAAUAGAAGUGGGCAUGAAUGGAGCUUCUAGGACUGUGUUGACUGAAGCUCUCUUUGUCCAUCUAAUCUUGAUUUGCUGUAAACAGGCGAUAGUGUCAAUUGGCUUAUUCGAUGCUCACUGCCUGAAUUUAGGAGUUAACCCGAUCGAGAUCAGAUGAUGCAAGGAUCGGAUUUGAUAAACUUUCUGGCAAUUCGCCUCUUUCGGGAUCUUCUAUGACUCUAUUAGCUUCUUUCUUCCAACGGAGGUCACCUCGCUCGCCUAAGAAGGAGCUGUGGGACUUUUUGGAUCAAUUGCUGAGGAGCAGACUCCAAUCCAUAUACUUUUAUAGUAUAAAAAACCUUCGGGAUCACUUGUUCUUUUGCGACUUGAUAUGGAAUCCCGCUUGAUAACAAUAACAGCCUCCCCUGCUGUGGUUCCGGUGGCCACUCGUACAACCGGCGAACAGGUUCUGUAUAUUGAUUCCCCGCCACCUAUCUUUCUAGCGAUGGUGGUGAGGAUGAUGGGCUAUGUUUCGUUUGGGCUAAGAUGCUUUCUCCCCCGUUCGUGUUCCCGCUCCGGAGGGGCCUCCGCAUUCCAUGCGACCCAUGUAGCUAUCUAUUGGCGCCUUCUGCUGCGGCUUCCUCGACUCCUGCUAUCCCUGCCGCCUCCGCUAUAGCUUGGAAGAUGAUUAUUUGCUCUUCGGCGAAGGGGGCAAGGGCGUGGGAAAUCCGGCAGCCUUAGGCUUCUACUGGUCCAUCCCCCGGAUCCCUCUGCCUCUCCUACGUUUCUUGGUGCUCCAUCCCGAAGUCCGGCAUGGCUGCCCGAUCCAUCCACUCGUUGAAAAGGCAGGGGGUGGACGGGAGAUAGAAAGAUUUUAGAUGAUUCAUGAAGAAAUUCAUUGAAUUGAAGGGCUCGCCUGAGGGCUUGCUUAAGAAGUUCACCAGCAGUCGCUCUUGAGAGUGGGUGGAACGUGGAACGAUUGGGACAAGGCGGGGGGCUCCCGCCGAACCACGGAAGCCUUACCUCUGGAAGUAAGGGCGUGCUAAUCCCUGACCUAGGGAAUGGAAUGAGUUAUAGAUAGAAAGAGAGUGGGACUGGUCAAAAGGGAACUUUCCUAGUUCGAAGGUGUGCGUGCGAUUAUCUAGUCAUCUGAGCUCUCGUAAAACGUACACAUGUAUCAAUCACCCACUCCCCCGAUAUGAUUUACCCAUGUUUGGGAUGUGUAUCCUUCCAUGAUUGAAACUCCCAGGGCCAGGACUACUUUACAAAUAGGACGUGCUUGCAUCCUAAAGCUUUUUAGCCUAUAUUGGUACUAGCGUGGUCACUUUCUGCGUGCACUGCUUCUUCAUCAGCAGGUAGGUAAUUCGAUACUCCGGCCUCACCCGACCUUGGCUGGCCUAUGACCACUGAUUGGGUGCAAGCGGCGCUCCUUCCUUUGUUCAUCCUUGUUGUUUCGGUCGGUGAGCCUAUGUCCUUUAUUAAGGGAAGUUUACUUGUCCAAUAUAAGCUAAGGCCCGUAAGCCUAAUCAGUCAAGUCAACCAUACCUAAGGAUCGGUGAAAAUGGAGAUGGAAAGAACCUCAACAGGGUUAACUUCGAGUUAAGAUUUCUCCGUUGCUGGACCAUAUGUUACCACUUAAGAUGCUUGAGUAGUUGAUGUAGCCGAAUCACCUACCCCCCUUAUAAUCGUCUAAAGGAUCUGCCCUCGCUGGAUCUUUUUCCAUAACUUUGGUUGUUGAGUCGGGUUCUGCCAUAGAUGAUCAAACUGCUUUCGCCGGAGCAGAUGAUGUCCAAAGGGAGUUGUGCUCUUCCCAUUUUUUAGGUUGAGGGCUGCCAGAGUAUCCGUCUCUUAUCUUAAUAAAGGCAAAUCAUCCGCAGUCAGUGGCGGAUGUUAACGUGAAACUGAAAUAGUCGGGGCCUACCCAGACCUACCUAUAAAAAUAUGGAGAAGAGUAUGUAUCUAGCCUAGAGGAGAAAUUAGGGGGAAUCCCCAGCCUGUAGAAUAAGACCACCCGCCUUUCACUAGCGAAGCGGAUCUUUCGGUAUCUUACCUUAAGGGUACCUUGCCUCAUGGUUGACACUCCCGCACAUGAUGUCUCUCUUAGUGCUUAGGCAGAUCAUAUUGGGCAGGUUGCCCGGAUCCCCGAAAGUGGGCGCUCCACCACUGUUUUUGCAAUUUGUAGGGACCCCAUUCCCGGAAAGCCAAUAAAAAGCCUACGGGUUUCCCAGAGAAAAAAAAGAGACUCCCUAAGGGUAAGGGCUGAAGGGCUUGACCCGCUAUAGAUCUAGCAGAGUGGAAAACUAGAAGAUGAAUAUUUUGCAGGUCUUUUUGGAGGCCCUGGCCUCUCCUCUCAAUAAAUAGGCUUUUUUAGUUUCGCUUCAUCAUAAGCUGUCACUGAAGAGGCUGAUGCCGCCAAUCGGCUUUUCCUGAAUUUGACAUUUUUGGGUUCACGAGUGAUCAAUAGUAAUAGUAGAGGCGAACGGUCUUUUAGUUUGAAUGACUUCUGGGCACAAGUGCCAUUCUCGUCUACUCUUCUAUGGGAGGACUGAGAGGCUUUCCCCGAGCAAAGAAGGUGAAAGGGGUUUCAACCGAGUCUGAAUGUCAGCGUCUUCCUUUUUCCCUCACAUUCUAGCAUUAUAGAAAACUAUCCUUGAUAGCGGCUGGGUAGGCUGACUCUCCUAGUUCUAACUCCUCAGCAGGGAAGGAAAGCCUUCCAGUGAAAGCAAUAAACAAUAAAAAACCCGGUGCCAAUUUAUAUUCUAUAUUCUAGGUGAUUCCUCGUCACGCCUAUCUACUGAAGAACUCAGAGGUUGAGGAGUUUCUUUUUGUCCUUCAGUCCGCGUACGCGUAGGGUAAUAGGUCCGUCCACGAGCCUCCCAGUUCGUAUAGAGCAAAAAAUGGGAAUUUUCGCCAGGUUAUGUAUAAGGAGUUCCCUGGGAGUUGACCCGCUGGAGUUUAGGACUCUGCAAAUACAUCCGCUUAGUUAGGUAGGAACUUCAGGAUAAUAGUGAACACUAGAAGGGUAAUCCGCCGAGAGCAGAUUCUAUCUAUCAAUAGGCUCUGCCACUUCCUCGGAGGGUGGAAAAAAAGAGUCUUCUAUCGCAAUCGCAGAACAGAAGCCGAGUCGGAUGCUUUCACUUAAGAAGAUGUUGUCGGCCUCGUUGGACCGAUUGGUAUCACACGAUACCCGACCACCCAUAACCCAACAGUACCCAUUCCUUGGAAAAGAGAAAGACGGCAGAACGUAUUUCGCGAGAAAAUAAACUUCCAAAAAAGGAGCCAGAAGGCCGGGGACAAUACCUUAUACUGCCGCUCGCUCUUGGCAGGACAAAGCAUCUGCGUAAAACAACUAGUUUGGUAGAAUACCAUAUGCUCUAAAAAGCAAUCCGUAUGAUGAACUGAAUCCCCCAUUGAAUUACCCCAAGGUUGGUAAGGAAAAAGAAGGAUGAAAGCUGCAAAUAGGCUUCACUAGAGGGAUAACUUAUGCUACCAAAUCCGUUUCUGUUGCUGAAAGACCGUCUGCUACCACUUCACUUAUUAAGAUGCUCUCGCUAUUAAGAGAAGAGGACAUCUCCUAACUGUGGUAAUUGCCGCGUAAUAGGAUGUGUUGAUAAUAGAGUCUUUUGCCACAAAACCUUAUACCGUAGUAGUUGAUGUAGCCCCAAGCCCCUCUUCUCUCUAGCCUUUGAUUUUUUGAUAGAGACCGAUCCGCUUUUGUUGGCAAGUUCGGAAGAAGGCUUUGAGGGGUGGGCCUUUCGUACUCAAAUCCGUACGGGGAAAAUUAUUCAGCGCACUAAAAUCUAGUGGAUGGGGUUCAAUAUUCAUGAAAAGCCAGGUUUGAAAUGAUCCAUGUUACGGAACCAAGACAACCUAUCUUACUAAUAAAAGGGUUAAGGGCCUCCAACGCCUAUAAAUAGAAGCUUUUUUCAGUCUCUAUUUGGCAAAGGUCGCCUGGGUUUUUUUAUUGCAUGAAAAAAAGAGGAAGCAUAGACAAGAGCAAGAGCAACGGUUUACUCGGUUGAAGCAAUAGAGGCAUAAAUAAAGCAAGCAGUAGACCUAGCAGCAAAUCCAGUGUUAGAUCAAUACCCUGAUCCAUACCUAGUAUCAACACCAAUAGGAGCAUAAGUAGCUAAUACGUAAAAAGCACGCACCAGUCACAUACCCACUUGUAGGACCUGAACCAUAAGCUAGGGUUGCUGGAGCAGAGCAAGAAGCAUAUCCAUACGUUGAUCCAGUCAAAGAACCAGUAGUAGAUCCAUUAGUACCAUUUGCAUUACCAGAGCAAGUCCUUUAUCCAGUUGAAGAACGAAGAACCAGUUGACUAAGUUACAGUUCCUUAAGCAUAACCAGUAGAGACCGCAGAUUGUUAUCCAUAUCCAGCAGAUACGAGGGCGACAGUACGAGUACCAAAAGAAAAGUAGCAUAUCAUAGUAAAGAUCCUAUAGAAGCCAAGCCUAGUUCUCGCCGUUCAGCAGUGGAAUAUUCCCAUGAUAUAGUCGCUCAGUCAUUUGUGAAUUCCUUUCUGGAGUCCAGGAUAUCGGAAAUAACAUCUAAAAAGAGUAGCCGGAACCGGUGCUACACCAAAGUAUGGGCUUUUGAUUUCUCAAUCGAUUUUGAAUUACAUGACUGGGAAUCUUCCUUUCAUCGGUGGCCAAAAGCCCAAGUAUUCACUUACUACCUAAUUCCGAGUUUCAACCGAACUGCUGGCACCCGUUUUCCAAGCUCUUUUAGGGCAGAUAGAUGGUCAGCUUAGCUAUGAAUUUCUUUGAAUAUGGGACACCAACAGUGAAGGAAGGUUCCUCGGAUGAUUGCUUCUAUUGACUGUCCUUCUCUAUGUUGACUGGGGAAGCCUCUAGCUGAGCAAAGUCAGGGUUGACUCUCAGAGAGGAGAAAGUGGGUUGGCUUCAGCGAGGGCACGGCCCCUCAACUAUCCGUCUCUCUUUUUCCUGGCUAUAUACCUUACUUUGCUUUAUGCUUUGUGAGGAAGUCAUUCUUUCUUUGAUCUCCCGAAGCCCUUUACUAGCUCGUUACGUAUACUUCACUCGCUCCCUUCCAACCUCUAUCUAUUCUAGUUGAGUAAGGAAGUGGUCCUAAAGGGUUCUUAUCUCCUACAUUCGACUAGCUACCAUGGCUAGAUCUAAUUAGUUCUGUUCUGUCUUUGCUCUCUUCUUUCCUAUUAAGUUGGUAGUUCCUAAGGAUGCAACCGAUAGAUAGGAGCCCAAUGCUACCAUCCGAUCCGCUCUUUCUUUCGUAUCCGAGUAGCUAGAUGUGACAAACAAGGCUUGGUUCUUGAAUGGAAUACUGAGAUGAGGUUUCUAACAAGCUAGGCUCUAUUAGAAUGGAUUCUAUCGAUCAGUUCGGGAUAAGGGGCAUGCAGAAUCUCUUUCCCUCUAGGACCCUCCUUAUGAGCGAAGGGAUCCCUGCUAGAGUAGAGGUACUCCGCGCGUAAAUCUUUUUUAGGAUUCUCUGUUGCCUUUGUUCUUUUGAAGGUAAUAGAAGACGAAGACGAAUACCGCCUGUAGCCAGCCCCUUUAAGCCUCAAAGAGACCAGAAGAGAAGGAAAAAAAUGGAUUUCAACACUGGCAUAACAAAAAGCCAGGCUCGAAUCAUUUUCAACGACAAAGGAGAUCAAAUUCUCUGUCGUGAAUGCUAAAUUUCUUCGGUGAUGAUAUCGUUAUCGGGGAUCCGGAAAGUGGGGAUUCAAAAGAGCAUCCCACAGCCUUAGCCUCUCCUCAAUGGAGUAUAGAUGGUUCUCCCCCCCUACAACUUCUGGUGCAAUUCGAGGGGGCCUUCACGCUGCACCCUUACACUAACUUGAGUUUCUCUUGCUUGCCACAAUCCUAUGUCUGAUAAAGUAAGACCAACCAAUACUAGCAGGGACUCAUUCCUCGCUUGCUUAUACUUGCGAGGUUAUGUAUUGGGUGGUAUCAGUGGUACAGAUUUCUUGGUGUCUGCUCUAGGUUUGACACAACCUAAAGCAGGACGUGGUAUCGUGCUUCCUAGUGUUUUGAUACACUUUGGAGAAGAUCCCACGGUUACGACCAUCAGCUUAGUUACCCUAGCACACACAAUAAGGGGGCUCAGAAAAAGAAACUUAUACUUAUAAAUAAACUUAGCCAUAUCCUUCAUUUCAGUACUUUUGCUCCCUUCAACACAUCCCUCUACUCAACUUGGUAACCUUCUCCGAUCCGCUCAGUCUUUGAACUGGAAAUUAAUCAGAGAAAGAAAGGCCUAGCCGAUGCUUUCAAUCUUCGUGUUCUCUUGUCCCCGCAAGAAGGAGAUGAAAAUCACUGGAAUGAGGACCCAGCUCUAUACUUACACUCUGCAGGCGGGGAAAUUUCCACUCUAAGGGGAGCCUUUGAGGAGCCCCUCCGAAUGAGAGAAGUGAAAGCUAUCGCCCUUUCUCUUUUUUUAGAAUGAAAAGUUGCACUUGGAUAGGCCAGAAGGGAGUAUGCCACCAUCCGCCAAGGAAGGAAAGAUUCGCUUAUAACAGAUACUUCACCCGAGACCAAUGAAAGGAGAACUUGACACAGUGCUAUAAGGAACAAAGCAAACAAGCAAAGCAAGAGAGCCCUUUCCCGUUCCGGCAAGGUAAGGGAUAGGGGUUUCAUACUCAUUUUUUUAAAAACUAGAAUUUAUAAGGGAGCUUGAGUGUUAAGUUCUGUGCAUCAAACUAAUUUGUCCUAAGGGUUUAGGUCAGGCUUUGUUUUGAGAUCGAUCUCCUGCUUCAACUUCACCCUAGACUCGUGUAGUGUAGCAAGACUAACAAUCGGAAGGGCUCCGUAUAGUUCUAUUUUAGGGCGUAACGUUGCCCUCGACUGACCGAAAAAACAAGUUCAAGAGGCAUCUUCCAUUCAUAUCGAUUUUGGUUUUUCUGCACCAUAUUUUGAUCUGCCUCUUCUUCGAUCCGGAAUUCCCAGCAAAUCCUUGACUCCUCGAAUACAAUGGAAUUUCACACCUGGCAAAUCUUUCACUCUACCUCCUCUUAUUAAGACCAUAGAAUGUUCCUGCAAAUUAUGACCUUCGCCCGGAAUGUAAGCAAAUAUAUCAUGUCGAUUGCUCAACCGUACUUUGGCUAUCUUACGUAGAGCUGAAUUAGGUUUUUUCGGUGUUCUCGUCGAAACACGCAGGCAUACUCCUUGCUUCUGGGGACAUUGAUCCAAAGCUCGAGUACGGUCCGUGCGCCGUUUUUCUUCUCUACCAUGACGAAUCAAUUGAUUUAAUGUAGGCAUCGCUCUUUCCUUUGUCCUUCCCCCCGGUUUUUGCCCUAUCACUAGUGAUUACUCCCAAUCCAAAGCACCCCUUUUCCAUUCAUAGAGAAAUCCAAUCGUCAAAAUCAAUAAAAAGGCCAUCAUGGACCAAAAUCCAAACAGAUCAAUCUUGUUGAGAGAUACUGCCCAAGGAAAGAAAAAGGUUACUUCCAGAUCAAAGAUAAUAAAUAAAAUUGAAACAAGAUAAAAUCGUAUAUCGAAACGACUUCUGGCAUCACCGAAAGGAUCGAAACCACAUUCGUAGGCCGACAAUUUUUCUGGAUAGGUCGAACUAUUAGAAGAAAAUAAAAAAGGAAGACCGACUAAGAUUAAAGAAACUAGCAGACUAAUCACUAAAUAGAUACAAAUAGGUGCAAAUUCUAACAUCACCACAGCCCACUUUGUUCUCUCGCUCCUUGCUCGCGGAGCGGCAUACCAGAAAAAAAAAAAGAAAGAAGAAAAAAAAGCACCCCUUCACUCACUCACUCAACCCCAAUCCUUCAACUCUAAGUGAAUCCCUUACCCGUAGCGAUCGAGCCAUAUCUCGAGAUUGUUAAUAGCUCGUCUCACUCGCCUAUAUGGGAGACUUUGGCGAGUCCCAUUUCGUUCGAUUUGCUCUAGAUGGGAGAGCAAAGUGCGUUGGGAUAAUAGAGGGUUCUCCCUGUCGCUAUUAGUAUGAUUAAAGAGCACCCCCCGUAUAUCCGGUAAGUUAUGAAAGAUUCUCCACGGAGAGAACCCAUCAUCAAUUAACGCGGAUUCGAUUCGUUUCUCAAUUCGAAAAUGAGACUCUAAAAUCUCUAAGAAGGAUGGUAGGUGAGCAGAAGUGUGCUUUCCUACGAAAUAUAAAGAAAGCCUCCGCGCUAGAAUCUGUCUGCGGAUAGAAUCCUGCAGUAGCGGCGGGUGUUCCGGGAUUACCGGGGGAGAGGGGGGUUCAACGGGUACUGUUUCUUGGCCGUGAGGAGGUCCCUCUUGCGCUUGGGCAAGCCAAUCCACAAUUGGAGGUGAAUCGAUCUGCCCGUCGCAGAAGGCUAGAGGUAUAGUACUCUGAAAAGAAAUAAGAAUGAAGAAGAUAAAACCCCACAUUAAGAUUUUAAUUGGGUUUUUUCUUUUAAAAAUAUCAUUAGUGGAUUCCCAUUGGUUAGGAGAACCCAAAGGCAAAGGCGUGAUCGUGAAAAUUUUUUGUUGGAGCGCGGAAACAUUCACAAUAGAGCCAACGCGACUGACAGAUAAGCCGACGUUAAUAGCGGGUCUAAUUCCGCGAUAAAAGAGCUCUGUUUCCAAACAAAUUUGUCCGUCAGUAAUUGAAAUAACAUUUGUAGGAAUAUAAGCCGAUACAUCUCCAGCUUGUGUUUCAAUGACGGGUAAGGCGGUCAAGCUACCUGCACCUGUCUGGUCCGAUCGUUUCGCGGCUCUUUCUAAUAGACGGGAAUGUAAAUAGAAAACAUCGCCUGGGAAAGCCUCACGGCCUGGGGGUCGGCGUAACAAUAAUGACAUUUGUCGAUAUGCCACGGCCUGUUUACUAAGAUCAUCAUAGAUUAUUAAUGCGUGCAUUCCAUUAUCGCGGAAAUAUUCCCCCAUGGCACACCCAGAAUAUGGGGCCAGAAAUUGCAGAGGAGCUGGAUCCGAGGCGGUGGCUGCUACAAGAAUGGAAUAUUCCAAAGCAUUCCCUUCUGAAAGAAUUUGAACUAAUUGUGCUACAGUUGAGCGUUUUUGUCCAACCGCUACAUAGACACAAUACAAUGUCUCACUCUCAGAGGUGGCCCUUGAGUUCAUUUCCUUUUGGUUUAAUAUGGUAUCGAUAGCAAUAGCAGUUUUUCCAGUUUGUCGGUCCCCGAUUAUAAGUUCUCGUUGACCACGGCCUAUAGGAACGAGACUAUCUACCGCUUUUAAGCCCGUUUGCAUGGGCUCGUGCACAGAUUUACGUUCAAUAAUCCCUGGGGCUUUCACUUCGACACGUCUUCGCUCGUGAUCGCUUAGAGCCCCUCUUCCAUCAAUAGGGACUCCCAACGCGUCGACCACACGCCCUAGCAUAGCCUUUCCCGCGGGAACAUCCACAAUAGAGCCAGUGCGCUUGACAAGAUCUCCUUCUUUAAUAGCGGUAUCACUACCAAAGACAACAAUCCCUACAUUCUCAUUUUCAAGAUUUAAGGCUAUCCCUUUCACACCGCUGGCAAAUUCAACCAUUUCCCCAGCUUGAAUUUCGUUCAAUCCAUAAACACGUGCAAUCCCAUCUCCAACUGAGACCACUCGACCGAUCUCAUCCACUUGAAAAUUCGUGUAAAAGUGGCUAAUUCGACUUUCUAAUAGAGUGGUUAGUUCCGCAGCUCUGGGAGAAAAUUCCAUGAUUUCAUUCAAAUUAACAUUAACAGAGUUAAGGGAGAAUGCCGCUACUAUUACUAUUAAUGAAUAAUGAAAAGAUUUAACCAAGGAAAUAACGCACGAAGGCAGUAUACACGGCGGAGAGAUGCCCGUUUUGCUGGGCAUCUUGGAUCCAUAAGUUUAACAUGGAUACCACCAACCUUCUUUCAAAAGGGGAUCGCGCCGCGUCUUCUUGAAUCUGGAAACGACUCAUAAAGUAGUUGAUGAAUUCAAGAGCCUCGGACCUUAUGACACGGUCAGGUUCAGCAAAGGGGGAAUUCGAUAAUAUUUGAGUGAGCCGAUCAGUUGGCUCACUCAUUAACAAAUUCACUAGUCCCUCUAAGAGAUUGGCCUUUAAUUCGAAAACUGUAAUGUCAAAGAGUUCAUUGUUUAGGACAUUAACAUCCCAAAAAACUUACUUUUUUGAAAGCGUAGAAACGCAAUCCGCAAUCAAUGAAAAAACUUACUUUUUUUUGUAAGACCAAAUGCUAUCUCAAAAGAAUACAAAAUAUUGCAAAGCAAACAUGGAAAGCACAAUCAGUAUCAGUACGAGUGGGGGGCCGGAAAGACGAAGAAGAGCUCUUUUAAUCCAGCUGGUCAACAGCUGGCUUUUCCGUCGUGCAUCCAUCUGUAUGGGUCUCUAGCAAUUGGUGCUCCCGUUCGCACUCAUCAGAUCUUGUCUCCUCCCUUGGCCCUCUUCAAUCGGGUGAUUACGGCCUGAAGGAUCGAAAAAUGUGGCUUUUGAGCCUAGGAUUUCGAUAUCGACUUUCAUUCACUCCCCACUUGAAAGUCAUUUUUAGGUAAAGCAUCUCUAGCAGACGCAAUCAGUUAAUCUGAUUAGUCGCUCGGAGAAAGGUAGCGAAGUACGAGUGCUCAAUUCUGAUUCGAUAUCUGGGCUUUCUUCUGUUGGAGUGAAUCCCGAAUCCCUUGCUUGUUCGUUAGCGCUUUAGUUUGAUUGCUGCAGCCAACCGUACGUUUGCCUCUUGGUAACGUGAUCAGUUCCCAAGUGUCGUUCUUCUUUAGAGCCUCCAUUUCUUCUAUCAUAGCUUUCUUCCACUGAGGAUGAUUGAGGGCUUAUUUUAAAUUGGGAGGGUAUCUUGGUGGAAUAAAUCGCUGAAACGAAAGCUUUAAGAGAAGGAAUUAUUAUCGCUUAGCGCUUGUGCUAAGGAAGCUUGAUAGGACACAAAGUUAUUAAUAGGGCGAGAAGUACAAUAUCUCUUUUCUUUCCUCAAGGCAAUAGGUAAAUACAGAUCAGAAACAACAGAAGGAGGAAGAGAGGAAGUACCUGGAUCCAAGGAGGAGUCUUGGUGAUGGAUUGUUGAUUUGACAAAUUUUCUUCCUCUUCUUCACAUACGUCUUUAAUUCCGUGGUUUGCUGACCAAGCUGCUCACUACUUUGAGACUCCCCCUCUUUCGAAUCCAUAUAAUUUUCCACUUUAGACAUGGGAAUAUUUUAACUGACGACAGGAAGAACACUACUCUCCUCCAGACCUCCAUACUCCCCCUGAGGAGAGUAGGGAUCCGAAAGAGUACUACAAUUUUCAGAGAAAAGAAAUAAGAAAGAUUUUCAAAGAAAGUGAUGACAUCCAUGGACACAAAUCUUUUAUUUGUUUUGGGGUGAUAACACUUCUAGCCCUUCUGAGAGCUAGAAUACCAAACAAAGACACAUUUGAAAGACUUAUAAUCAAGUUUGUUUCUGAGAGGACUCAAGUCAUGAACAAAGCAAACACAACCAAAAACACGAAGAGAAAUAGGAAAGACAGGGGUGAGUCAGGUUUCAACACUUGAAUAGGAGAUUUACCACUUAGAACGGACAUACGAUUAAUCAAAUAACAUGCAGUUAAGACAGCUUCUUACCAGUAUUAGCUACCUUCAUCUCGGUGAGAAGAGCACGGGUAACCUCCAAAGAUGCCGAUUUUUUCGCUCAGCUACUCCAUUCUUGGGGGUAUAUGGGCAGGUAGUUUGAGAGUCAAUCCCUUGUUUCUGCAGAUAAGCUUGAAAGUUCUUGGAGAACUAUUCUCCCCUUUCUUUUUUUCUUUCAAAUUCAGUCAGAUCUCAAAAUCUUAACAUUUAUACCACACUGAGUUUUUUAUCAUAUUAUGAAAUAACCGGAAAAUAAAAGGAAUUAUUAUUGCUUAGCGCUUGUGCUAAGGAACUUCAUUCUUAGAUUUCAUAAGAUAGAUGAAAGUCACUCUAGAAUAGUCAUCAAUGAAGGAGACAAAAUAUUUAUAAAGAAAGGAAUCGAAAUUGACCGAUAGCCAAUGCUAACAAGCAAUAGAAGAGAUAUUUACAAAAAAGGUUAAUAUGGGAAGAUUUUCCCGUAUUCCAGAUGCGAGAGUUGCGACAGAACAGAACAAAUGAGCGAUUGCAACAGAUACUGAUUCCCCAGCAGGAAGAUAGGAAGUAUUGAAAGACAGAUCGAUAAGAUAUCUUUUUUAACGAAUUGCCUGAUUGCGACAGCUUAUCGAGACUUGUUACUAGACCAAGCAAAUUCCCUAGAAGAGAGCUUAAAGAGGGCUGAAGUUUAAGGAAAAGCGGCCAUAGAGCCGAUCUCUCCCAUCAGUCAGACAGAUGCGAUUGUUAGAGAUUCGAGAUUACCGGUUGGACCGAUUCAAGCGAUUGAAAGAGGAAAGACCGAUUGAUAGAGGUUGGACGGAUAACCGUGUUACCAGAUGAGCUGCUUUGCUAGACUUGUCUAAAGUUGAAUUCACUCCCUAGCCUUGAAAACGAUUAUGCUUUCGUAAUUAGUUCCAGCUUAGCUUCGUCAUGCCCACCGGAAGGAACGCCUUCACUCACGCCAACAACAACAACAACCUCUGCUUAAGCAGCCUACCUUGAACCAGCGAAAGUGAAAAUCACAUUUCUUUGCCUGAGAGAGAAGAGCGUCAGCCCGCACGGUCCCUGUGAGCAGCGGAUUGCUUCCGCGUUGAGCCCUUGGCACUGACCUUUGAGACAUCGUUCCCGUAGCACCUUAUACCUGACCUUGGAAUGUCACUCUGCCUCACAAAGAUCGUCUCUCUGGCACUUCCGCUUCCGGGGUUGGGUCAAAGCUAUCGGUCGAUCUCGUGGCGAGCCUUCCCCACCUACCUUACCUGGACCACCGUUAGCCCACCAACUUCCUUUGCAACCUGAACGCCCAACAACUUCCACUUCCACUGGGACUUGACCACCAACAGGCACUGGCUCACCUCACUACGCUCCGAAAGCUUCACCGUACUUUUCAGUUCAGCACGCCACUACUAGUUAUUAAACCCCUUUGGGCAUGGUCGGGGUACCUUUAUCUCUCGUUAUCAAUUGAAUCAGUCAAGAAUACAAUCAAGCGUUUAUCGCCUUUGAUCGCUCCCGGCUCGCUUUCGGGGCGAGCCUGCACUCUCGCUUCUCACUCGCCUACGAAAGAAAGCAAAAAUACUAGACUCGACUUUUACACCUGCGCUUCCUCACCUGCCUCUCCACUCGUGCCUACUUUCACCAACCGUCCCCUACUCCAUCCCUCUGCUUGGCUCUAGCCUUGUCCGGACCUCCACCUCUCUGAGUUCUCGCCCCCUGAGUUGCGUUCUUUGUCUCGUCCAUCUGAGGCCGACGGCUAGGAAAGCAUACCCUGAUUGGAUCGACCGAGUUCAUCAGUUUCCAAAGGGGUAUAAGGUGCCUGAGUUUGUUCUCUUUUCCGGUGAGGAGAAGAAGUCGACUAUUGAGCAUAUAGCUCGGUUCUCGGUCCAGUGCGGGGAAGCUAGGUCCAAGGACUACCUCAAGUUGAGGCUCUUUGCCAACUCUCUUACUAAAUCGGCCUUCCCCUGGUAUAUGAACAUCCCUCCAAACUCUAUUAACAGUUGGUACGAUCUGGAAAGCAAGUUCCAUGAGCAAUUCUAUAGGACAGACCCAGACAUUCAAGUUGCCAAUUUGGCAAGAUUGACUCAGCUCCAACGGUCGAAUCGCGAGGUUUAGGAAGCUUUACCCAGACUAAGGGGUACGUGACUCUUACGCACUACGGGUUAGUGACUCGUUAACACUCCCCGUUCCGUGGGCUCAAGAACUCGAUGCUGAUGAAACUCCUGCUUUUAGCGACUCGGUUCCUAUUACAGACAGGUGGCAGCUUCCCAUGCAAAGCUUAAUCGUUAAGUUUUGUCAAUAACCGUUUUUACGCCUGGGUGGAAAGUCUAGAGCCGCUUUAGGUGGUAACCAUACGGGCACCGCCUCUUGACCUCUCGUGUAAAGUAUAUUAAACUCGUUUUACCCCACUCUCGCUUCUACGCUCCUAACGCCUAGUUGUGUAAGCCAACAAGUGAGUUUUGCUUACGUGACACAAGACAGAUUGAAAGCAAAGGUAAAGCCGUCCAGUGAUCAAGUAAAGGUUACGAAGUGAUUAAAUUGAACGUACGAGCGAAACGAAAUACUUGUUUAUAUCAAUAUAGAUAUAAAUGGAGCGAGAAUCGGGAGUUGAUAUUGAGAAACGGAAGAAAGGCCGUGGAUCCCUGAUAGCCUAGUUGCUUCGAGCCUAACCCCUUGCUUGCAACAGAAACAAUACCCGGAGAAAAGUUUCUACGCCUGUAAAGCCAUUGCCCCUACGCCAAGCCCCGAAAUAAAGAAGGAGGUUAGCCAUCACGGGGAAGUGCAGUAAGUUAUCUAGGAUAUGAUAGAUAAAAAUGGAAGGAGCGACCCUUGGACCUAUAACCUUACCUUUUUGGGGCUCACUCCUUUCCUACUCGCUUGAUCUUGAUGACCAAGGACUAGAAACGAAAAGCUAACUUCCAACCCUUGGAAAAACCUGAUUCAAGACUUGCUGUACUCACUUUGAUGUAUUUUUUAAUAUAAAUUAUAACUAGCUUAAGGCUUGCUAGAACUCGUAACACAGCUUAUAAAGAAUACAAGAUAAGAUCUCAAGUAAGAGUAAGAGACUUAGUCUAAGAAAGGAAAGUCAUUUCGUGAAAUGGGAUUCGUAGCCAGCAAGCAAUAGCAUCCUGUUGUUAUAGAAGAAAUGAAAUUGCAUAAAAUAAAUAAGGACCUCGCUCGAAAGCGAAACGAAAUGGGGGACACUAUCGGGUAUGCCUGACAGAGAGAAUUGCUUGCAACGCAACUACAAGCCCAGAUGACUAAUGGAAGGAAGAGCUUCUGGCUAUCGAGAAAGCCCUGCUUGAAGAAAAGGCUACUUCCUACUGCCCUACCACCAAGAACAGAUUCUCGCCAUCUAUUUAGAGGGGAACUUCUUAUGAAACAACGCAGCUCCUAGUCCGACAGUUCGCUCUGCGCCUUAAGAGAAAGAGUUCCGGCAUACUACUAAUUUAUUAUUUGGCCGUUUGGGAUCGGAACAACCUGGGGAAAGUUGUCUUCCUACAUAACCUACCUCCCGGAAGAAGGUAUCAGAUCUAUGUAGUUCUCGACCCCUUUUGUUAAACCAGUUCCUGUGCCUGGGAUUCAUUCCAGUCUGUAAAGUGAAAGUAAUCUGGUGGAUGGGGCCCGCCUCACCAUUCCCCUUCUCCAAAAGCAAUCAAAAAAGAAAAAUCACCAUGAAAAAGGCCUGCCUUUCAGUACGUGAAAGAAGUUCUGCUCUUUACGUGAAGUAAGUGCUUUCUCUUUCACUGUCUUACUUUGGCCCCUCUCCUGACCGAAAAAAGGAUUCAAUCCAGCCCCAAGCGUACCAGGGGCUACCCUGUUUACCGGAUCCUUAGAGGUCUGCCCGUCCGGCGUCGGUACCUCGCAUUUUGUAAUUAGGGCGGCACCCCGGUUUUCUGAGUGCCACCUUCACAAUAAUAAGCAGGCGGCCUACCCGCUUUCCUUUCGGUCAGCUGCCCCUCAACCGCGUUAGGGGUCUUCCUCAUCCAUAAUCCAAGGCCACUGUUUGAUGGAAGUAUUUGAUAUUGUGGAAGGUCCCUCUACCUCAUGAAAUCAAUAUCAAAUAUCCGGUCUUUUGUUUUUUUCGAGAAGGUCCCAUAUGCGGGGAUAGAUGGAGGUUCUAUCGGCCUCCUCGUAACUUGGCCAUGGUCUUUUCCAAACAUUUUUCAAAAUGUCUUCCAUUUCUUGCCGCGUCCGAAGGGGGGAAUCGAGCCUCAAAGCAUCCACGAUUUCUCCGUCGCGAAUCCGUCCGAUAUUCCCUUGUGGAUCAAUUUCUGCUAAUCUUUCGUGUACGGCUCUAAUUAUUUCAGUCUUCCAAAAGCUUCGCAGUUCGCCCGAGAGAAAGUCCAAGCUCUCCUUCUGCUCGGUGUUGGGAGAACUAUCAAUGGCGGGAGUGGACGUGGAAGUAGAUGGGGACGAAAAUUGUGACGAAGGGGAGAAAUAGUCUUUUUCUGAGCUUGAGGCAUGAUUCUCAAGAGAAGUAGAACCAGACGAGGACUCGGGGCGGGAGGAAGACUCCAAGGGAGGAAUACUUAUUUCCCCGGAUUCUCCGCCUGAAUGGACAUUCGAAUUCGACCCAGAACAAGAAACAUUCAAAAUCAAAGUGGAUAAGGCUGUUGUCACUCCUAAAAAAGCUACAAUCUUUUCUAAAAUGAAGAAGCGAAAGAGACAACAUAAAAAGAAAACUACAAUAUAAAUUAGGAAUAAUAGAAGAAAACUCUUUUUUUUUUUCGAAAGUAGAAUUCGAUAAAUUAUAGUGAAAAUUACAACAAGCACGAAUAAAGGAAGGAGAAAUUCUGGGGUGGUCAUUAUAGCGGUUCCUUCUGAUCCUAGAAAACGUCCGAAAAAACCUGCUACGGAACUACCUAGCAGGGGCAAAAAUACGAUAAGUAGAUACAUAAUUUCGAGUGUGAUCAGACAACCAAAAAUCAGACAAUGAGAGAGCGGCUGAGUGAUAGAUUGAUCGACGUUCGGAGAACGCUCGACCGAAGGAAUUUUGCACAAGGUGAAUUGUAAGCCCCAACGACUUCGGAACGAGCAUUUUCGGGGACUAGCCCGCUUCCCAUUACUCAAGAGGGCAGUCCUCUUUCAUGUGGAAUCGUUUUAGAUCGUACCCAAGCCCGCCUCCACUUUCUUAUGUGAAAGAGGUCUUGCUUUAUGAGACUGAAACCUUCUUUUCUUUCUUAGAUCGGAAGACGAAUGAGAUCAAAAAGGCCAUCAUUGGGGCAAACGAUGCAAUAGCUUCGGUUAGAGCAAAGCCCAAAAUGGCAUAACCAAAUGAUUGUUUAGCCAAUGAUGGAUUUCGUGCCACGGAAUGGAUCAAAGAACUGAACACGUUUCCAAUACCGACAGCAGCUCCCGCUGAAGCAAUUGUAGCAGCUCCGGCACCCAUUAAUUUUGCACCUUCUAACAUCUCGGGUUGAGAAUUCUCGUCACGCUUUUUCAUUCACGAUUUUUUGUUAUGGAUUUCUCGUCGAUUCUUCCCCUCGUUCCUUUUCUCUUGGGCAUCGUACUUGGUUUGCCCACGUCUUUUCGAUCUUGUACCCACGGCACUGAACACCAACCCAAUCUCGACGAAAAAAAAAAGAAAAAAUGUGCGCAACUGCAUCAACAAUGUCUUCUUCUUGCCGCAAAGGAAAUGCAUGAGUGAAAGACUCUUUCAGAAUUCUGAAAGAUUUCUUUUUCGUAGAAAAAUGAAACAAUCUUAUUCAAGCUUUCUGGACGUCUUUCUACGCGUAAAGCUUUAGAUUCAUAGAUCGGUCGUUCCAGAUGUGAUGUUGCAAGCCGCCGAUCCGCGCAACCAAUAUCUGACGCGAGGCCAGUUCUUCUUUAUACGAUUACGAUAAAGAUCGAGCCGAUUAGUAAGCCUUGCCCUGUUGAUACGCUAAAGCAUAGCAGCUCGAGAACUCACAAACUGAAGAGCUCACGUCACGAAUUAAAGAUGCUACGUGACGCUUCAUAUGCGGAUACAAGGGCCCAGCCCAUUAUGAUUAGGGAAGGCUCCUUUUUUGUUUGCUUGAUGAGUCAGGUUCCGCCCAUUCGACUGGCAAAGUUCAUGAGCUGGUGUUCUCUAAAUGUACCAAGUCUUAUGUACUCUAGCAGUAGUGGGCGAAGCAAGGGAUGGAGCUAGUUCAAAAGGGAAGUCAGCUCCUUUAAUACCAGUAGUCCGAAAGCUUUAGUCAGAAAGGGAAGUCAGGAAGAUAUGAAAUAUCUGUAACAGGAAGUCGUGUAAGGCGGUGGUGUUCUCCUUUGUUCCUCUGUCCUAGUCAUUUCGUGGUCUAGUGAGCCCUCUUAAGCCUCUUCUUCGUAAUCAAGCCGAAGCAAGGAUGAUGCUAACCUAUAAGUGUAAAGAAAGGGGAAUUCGUUCUGAGAAGUGUUGUGCUAAGUCUGGCAUCUGCCUUACCUUUCUUUGCGGGAAAUUGCUCAAAUCUCUGACUUCGAUUUAACGCUGGUGAAAAACUAAGACUUUCUUUCAGUGAGCUAUUCCCUUUCACUCUAUUCAACUCGAGUUUGUACCUAUCGUACCUAUCUAUCGAGCCUGCCCUGGUCAAUCUUUCCCGCCCUCUCCACUGGAAAAUCCAAUACAAUAUAAGUAAAGAAAAACGACUACUCGGAAAAAAGACUAAUUCCACUUCCUUUUCAUUUCAGUUCACGGAUAGCUAUCCUAUCUAAAUGAACGAACUCUUCCUUCCUAGCGGGACUCAUAAAGAGGAGAAGACAGCAAGCAGCCUCUUAGUAGCUGCUCUUUGUGACGAGAAUCUCAUUGGUUAUCGAAUCGCUUGCCUUUCCCUUGAUCGAGCAAACCCAAAACCAGUUUUCGACGAGAACCUCAUGGGUAGUGCUCAUAAACUUGAAAGUGACUAUCAGUGCAGCCACAUGGCUAGCUGUCUAGCGGAAAGGGCUCCUUCCUUCCUAAAAAUAAUUCAAGAUGGCCAGCAAAUGAAGGGAUAGCAGCAGCGGCUGCCCGCAUCCCACCUCCCUGAGACAACGGGCAACUUACCUCUUUCUCACUUCUGCCCGUAGGGGAAAUUGAAGAGAAAAUGAAAUGCAUCCUACUAACGUCAGUUAAAAGUACAUCCUACUAACGCAAGUUUGGUUUGUUUGCUUGUCCACUUUCCGGAAUGAUUUAUAUUGAUUGAGACCAGAAGAAUGUGAUUUAACGCUCGCUAGCUGUUGAAAGUUUCGAUUUAGUUCCUGGAUCGAGGCAAUAUUGAUUGAUUGAUUCUUUACUUGACUUGCACUGACCCCAGGAAGAAAAGAAUAAGAUUCUUGAGCUGUCAGAGCAGAGGAGAUUCCAGUCAGAAAAGGUCCUACUAACUCAACUUCUAAGCUUGAAGGUGAAGGGGGGCUUUGCCCUCCCGGUAUCAAUGGAUGAUGCUAAAAGCAACCUGAAGCUGGUGAGCUUGUUACGACUGAAAUCGGUGAUUCCUCGUUCACUGCUGAUUCUUCUAUUCCUGCUGUUCUGGAUGAAUAAACCAACCCGCCAUAAAAGAAUCCUGCCCGACGGGAAUGUGUGGUAUGCUAAGGUGGAGCCUCCUUCUUCAACAGCCAAGUCACGAAAUACCGAACCCAAAUCCGCUCCUUGCCCCAAGGGCAAGGGAUAAGGCGGCCUCGUUCCCGGAGUUCCUACGGUAGCUAAAAGAAGGGUUAUUGUCGUUGCUAAAGGCAGAGUGCCGUAGCCACCCAUAAAAGAAGCCGGCUUCCCCUUCAUCCAGUGAUCAAAAGCAAAUAUCCACGAAACCCGCUAAGGAAAGGAUUUGGGAGAGAAAGAAUAGCUAUCCAGUUCAGCUAGCGAGGAGCAACUUAUUUACUUCUCACUUUCAGCUCUAUCUCUAUACUAUAUUAGUAGAUGUCACUUCCUCUUCCUUCUCACCUCUCAUUCCUUUUCUGACCUACGGCACUGAACGUCAACCCCUCUGAUAGAAAGUCAAUGAGCGCGGUGCAACAAAGCUUCUAGUUUCGGUAUCUCUCCCGUGGGUAUACCCUUCAAUAGUGAGUAUCUCUCUCGUGAAGUAAGAAUUUAUAAUAUGAGCUGAAUCCACUACUGGAAAGGCAGGAGGGCGAAGACGAAGUAGGGUUGAGUCUCAGGAAGCGUUUAGGCCGGGUUCGAAGCUUUCUUCAAAGACAGGUACAGUAGCUACUUUAAUCUCAGGGGAAUAAAAUGGAUAAUCAAACUGCUAAGGUGAGUUUACUCUCCCUUUAGGGGAUGGAAGUUGACUUACAAAGAAAAAGGGUAUAAUUAUAAUAUUUUUCAGUCUCAGUUCUUUCUUUAGUCAGGGAAUUUGCUUGUUGCUCAAGGGAAGGAUCUAUGUAAUAAUAGUUAAAUAAGGAUUCUUCUAAGCGCUGGAGUCCGAAGGGUCCGAAGGAGUGGUAUCAAGCCUGCUCGUAGCUCACCCGUAACCCGUAAAGUAGGCAAUAUGUAAUAUUGUAGUAGGAGCCUCUUACUCCAUCCGAAGAGGAGAAUCUCUAUUAAGCUUUCUUUUUCUUCUCAGCCCAAGUUCAAAGACAGCUCGCUCAGUCGAACCGAACUUCGAAUCCAAUAAAUCCAAUGUAUCAUAGAAGGAUAACCUGUGAGUUAGGGAUGAUGUAAUUAAGAAGGAUAAGCUGUGAGCUAGGGUAAUAUUCCAUAUUAGAACAGUUCAGCAAAGACAGGUUAGAAUGGUAAUCUAGAUAGGUAGUUUGCUCACGAGCUGCAAUCAAUAGAAAGGGAUCCACCCUAAAGAAGAGGAUCGGAUCCACCUGAAGUAGUCAAGUCCCAAUCAAUGGAAGAUGUGGACUCUUUCCGACCCGCGAGCCAUGAAGAUUGAAUAUGUGGAGUCCAAAAGUGGAAAUCCAUUAGUGGCAUGAGAAGAAGUAGGGACGGGACUGAGGGAAGUCAUUCCAGGCAAGAGAGCCAAUCAGGGAAAUCCUCCCGGUAGAAGCGAAUAGACAGAAGUAGGAAAGAAAUUUGGAAAAUAUCUUAAUCAAGAUCAGAAGGCGAGAUAGCAGUGUUCAUUCAGGCAGGGGUUUCUACGAAAGACCCGAUUGCUGACUCUUCUAGUGUUGUGUUCACCACGGGGAUUGAACAUCAGGGGAAGAGGAGAUGAAGAUUGGGGUUCACCAGGCAAGAACGAGAGGUCCGUAGUGUGACAGGCUAGGUACGCCGCUCACCUGUAUCAGUUAUGGGGGUAGAAACUGAAAGAUUAGAAAAGGGAUUAGACGCAGAAGAAGAAUCUUAUGCUGGGCACAGUCCUAUUGAUGUUGAUUCAAUUGAAAAGCAGGCUACCCAUAGUUAUAAAACAAACUCCUCUCCAGGAAGACGAAGGUGGGUUCAGGAGUGAAAGGUAAGCGAAGCGUACAUGAAAUAUCGUAAAAAUGUUAUAACUAUCUCUUUCUCUUUACUAGGAGCUGCUUGCCCAGUCAGAAAGCUAGGAUCAGUCUCUGUCCACUCUAAGGUAAGGAAGCCCCGUCUCAGGCGAAGGUUGCUCCGUAUUCUCUUCUUUCAUAGAGCCUCUCUCCGUGGAGGAAUGAAUUCAGGUAACUAAGCGCAAGGAAUGAAUGAGCUCAUCUCGUUAAGAAUGAGGAGCGAAUGAUCAAAUCAAGUUCCAAUCUCAGUCUAAGUUACCCAAGAUCCAGUAAAUAUAGGAGGAAUUUCUAAGAUAGGUACGUUGUCAGCGAGGGUAAUAUUCCAUAUUACUUAAAAUAGGCGAUCAAUUCCAUGUGAAAUGAAAGGGGCAAGCCCCGUCUCAGUCGUCGAAGGGAUAAUGUAAUUAUGUUCUUUUAUCCCCUGUUCUAGGCGCAAUUCGUGGGCAAAGGCAAAGGGAGAGGUAAGCGUAGGCCUUCUCAGUCGAAGGAGAAACGGAAUCUAGGACGGGAUUGGAUUAAGGGCUUUCAAGCAUGGGUAGAAAGGUCCUCUUAGGUGUUAAUCCGCACGGGACGAUUGAUUAGGCAAAGAUGAUGCUAACGGACCAGGCCCAGGAGAGGAGAUUUCCGCUGUGAACGCUAUCUCAGAAGCUCAGGCUGUUGCACGCCUUACAUCUCAGAUUGCAUCUUCGCCUCCACGAAAGAAGAAUCCAAUAAGUCAAGUUCCAUGGGCAUCCUCCGAAGUAUCAUCUCAAUCCGGCGCUUUCUAAGGGAAGGCUUUAGCUUUCCAAUCGUAGGCCUGGGCCUUCUUGACCCUUUCUCGGAGAGGCAACCGUCUUGUCUUAACUGUCCCGAGCUACCGUUGUGGGUUGUGCUCAGUAAACGAGUUGUCCUAAAUGCCCCAGCAGUCGCAGUAAGCUCAGGCGAAGUUUCAAGCAAGUUCCUCGCACCUCACCUAACCACUCUAUUUCUCCUAGAAGGCAACGUGAUAAGCAACUUGACUUCUUUGAUCAUUUGAAAGAGGCCCGGGGUAUCAGUCAAAGAAAUGUUCAUAAUCCGCUUUCAAAUAGGCCCUGGUAGCUUGCUUCUUUUAUCUAUCUGCUUAGUCUCAGUUCUAAGACAGGUAAGGUUAGUUUACUUCUCGACCAAAGGGAGAGGUAAUAUAUAAUAGGCUCGACCACCGGGAGAGGAAGUGAAGUAGGGAAGCUCAGUAGGGUUAGGGAGUGAAGUACUCUAGUAGCUCGCCAGGGGAAAGCUCAAUAGAUAGUAAGGGUAGUUUUUAACUAGCAAUUCAGGAUUGAAGGUUUUGACCUUUCCGAGAAAAAUCCCUUGUUGGGAUGGUACAGUCAGUAAGAAUGACAUGAUACAUGAGCAAGUAGGCGUUGAUCUUUUUAUCAUCUUUCUUGCUGGCCCGUAGAUUUGAUCGCCAGUUUCCGGCGGUGUCUAAUCGCAUCGGUACGGGAUUCCCUAUGCCCCUCCUCUUUUCUUUGGUAUAGUUGUAGUUAGUUUCUCACACAGGAAGUACGACUCAAACUGAGCUAAAGGUAAUGACCUGGGACACUGCCCUUUCCUUUCAUAUUCAUAGUAGCAAAUCGGAGCUCGCCAAUCAAUCUUUGACCGAUAGGAGAGGGCUUUAGUGCUGUAGCACCCAAUUGUGGCUCUUCACGGCUUGCAAAGCGUGCUUUACUUGGCUCCUUGAAGAGUUUGAUCAGCGAGGAUUCAACCAGUGAAGGCUCGACGCAGUUGAGAAGAAAUGCUCUCUAGCCCGGCAAAGGGGAUAUCAAGAUUCACGUGCGAAGGGACGAGCGAAAGGCUUCCUAGCUUCCUAGUAGGAAGCCUGGUAUAAGAAAGAAAGUAGAGCUAGGCAAGGUCUUCUGUGAGUGAACGAGAUGAGGAUCAAAGAAAAUCGAACUAACUGUGAUAAGC
rnacentral:lncRNA from 1 species